UACGUAGGUGGCAAGCGUUGUUCGGAUUCACUGGGCGUACAGGGAGCGUAGGCGGGUGGGUAAGCCCUCCGUGAAAUCUCCGGGCCUAACCCGGAGAGUGCAGAGGGGACUGCUCAGCUAGAGGAUGGGAGAGGAGCGCGGAAUUCCCGGUGUAGCGGUGAAAUGCGUAGAGGUCGGGAGGAAGGCCGGUGGCGAAGGCGGCGCUCUGGAACAUUUCUGACGCUGAGGCUCGAAAGCGUGGGGAGCAAACAGG
rnacentral:rRNA from 1 species